rnacentral:rRNA from 1 species
AUAUCAAUAAGCGGAGGAAAAGAAACCAACAGGGAUUGCCUCAGUAGCGGCGAGUGAAGCGGCAAGAGCUCAGAUUUGAAAUCGUGCUUUGCGGCACGAGUUGUAGAUUGCAGGUUGGAGUCUGUGUGGAAGGCGGUGUCCAAGUCCCUUGGAACAGGGCGCCCAGGAGGGUGAGAGCCCCGUGGGAUGCCGGCGGAAGCAGUGAGGCCCUUCUGACGAGUCGAGUUGUUUGGGAAUGCAGCUCCAAGCGGGUGGUAAAUUCCAUCUAAGGCUAAAUACUGGCGAGAGACCGAUAGCGAACAAGUACUGUGAAGGAAAGAUGAAAAGCACUUUGAAAAGAGAGUGAAACAGCACGUGAAAUUGUUGAAAGGGAAGGGUAUUGCGCCCGACAUGGGGAUUGCGCACCGCUGCCUCUCGUGGGCGGCGCUCUGGGCUUUCCCUGGGCCAGCAUCGGUUCUUGCUGCAGGAGAAGGGGUUCUGGAACGUGGCUCUUCGGAGUGUUAUAGCCAGGGCCAGAUGCUGCGUGCGGGGACCGAGGACUGCGGCCGUGUAGGUCACGGAUGCGAAAC